ensembl:lncRNA
AUUUAAAAAAAAAUAAAACUUAAAAAUCUUAAAUUUACUGACAGACAAAAUGUCUAAGUCUCAAUUCACACUUUCUCUCCACCUUGUAUCUGUUUAAUCUUUCUCUCUUUCUAAUUUCUUUUUAUUCUUUUCUGCUUUCUCUCUCUCUCUCCCUCUCUCUCUCUCUCUCGGUGUAUAUAUAUAUAUAUAUAUAUAUAUAUAUAUAUAUAUAUAUUCUUAGUAACAUGAUUUCUGGUGCAUUAAUGCCCAGGAUCAUGCGUUUCACUGUUUAGGAAACUGAAAUCUGUGACCCUUCUUCACUUUAAUCUUAAUCAUCUUAACUAUAGUCAUUAAAAACUUGAAUUUCAGAUAUAUCAUUAGAUCUUGGUAGUGGACUCAGACUUUUAUAGAUUAAAAAAAAAAAAAAUUAUUAAAAAAAUUUCCGAACCACCAAAUAAAUUUACAAACAAACGAAUAAAUUAGUAAAUAGAUAGAUAGAUAAAUAAAUAAAUAGUGUUUGCCGGUUUAUUAUGUACAGAAUAUGUAGCUAAUGUACAGUAUGUAAUAAACUAGCAGGUGUCUGUAAGCGCUAACUCAGUAUUUUGUACUCUAUCUAUGAUUUGUAUUUUUAUCUUCCUGUUAAAGCGUUACAGUACUGAUCCCGGUUAAACCAACAGGCGUGUGUUAGCGGUCAGACCGCAUCCGUGAACCCUUUAUAAACUGUAUAAAUGUAAAAUGUCUCUCUCUGUUUCGUGUUGCUUUUUUUUUUUUUUCUUCAUUUUUUCAUUUUUUUGACCUCGUGAAAUAAAAAAUAAAAUAAAUAAAAACCAGCAAUAACCCUCAGGUAUACAGUAAGGAAUCAGAAAUGUGUGUGUUUCAGCUCAAGGACCCGUCACGGAGGGGUGUGAGGCCCGAAAACGGAUCAUAUUUCUGCAAAAACUUCAGUUUAUUUCAAAGAACAUCGUUUAGUUAAUUAAAAAAAAAAUGAAAUAAAAUGGAUAAAUCAGGACUGUCCUGUUCAUGUGCCGUGUUAUUGACGUUCGAUCAGAUCUAUUUUUGUAAAAAAAACAAAACAAACAAAAAAAACGUUUUUUAAAAUGAAAUUUUAGUACAUUCGUGAUAUUUUGCAAAUACUGGAACGUUUUUGCGACUCAGACCUCCUCCGUGUGUGCAAGAGAAAGAAAUCCAGUCACUCAAACCUCGAUUCUUUUAGAAAAGAGUCCAAUUCGUGUGAAUCUAGAUCGAGAUCGGACUUUCUCUGAAGGCCGGCUAUAAACAUUCCUAACAUCUUAUAACACAUUUAUAAAAGAUUAUACAUACGGUAAUCAUUGAUUACACAUCGAGUGACGGUAAAACGCGGCGUGUCAUGCUGUUAUCGGAACGUGAUCGACGACAAAUCAAAGCUGGCACGUUGAAGGGUUCCAUCCUCUCACACCGCACGACUGACACGUUCUUACUUAUCAAAAACCCACAGGUAUUUCAUUUUAUCCGUCUAUAGUUACAUUUACGUAUCGUACAUACCCUCUUAUAUAUCACAUACGUUAUAGCAAAAGACAAAGACAAAAAAAAAAAACCCACGCCGCACCUUAUCACCUUCCGGAGAAACCGCGACAGACGUGAACUCCACCGUUCUGGAAGUUACAGCCUCACCUCUAACACAGUUCCACACCUGCUCACACUGGAGACUCCUUCCGAAGACCUUAAACCGACGUCUCCUCGAUCGAACCGCAUCGACGGUUUUUAAAUCUGCGUUAAGGGUACCCCGUGACCGAGCCGUUACUAUAGAAACGAUAAGGUGAGAUCUGCAGCCGCACUACUGUCGGAGCUGCCGUUAGAGGAAAUUAAUCAGCUCCUUCUGAACCGGUUGCAUUUGUAAUAUAUUACUUUUCACGCAAUUAUCUCAUGUUAUUAAAACACAUAAAGCAACGGACGAAGAAUAACCGAUCUAUAUAUAAAUAUAAAUAUAUAUAUAUAUAUAUAAACAGUUGCAUUUUCAUGAAUAAUUUUAAAGGUGUAUGAUACUUUAUGGAUGUUUAUAAUGUUUAAUGUGUUAUAGUUACAGCCUUCAAAGAAAUGUCUUUUUUUUUUCUUUUCCUGCAGAUGUGCAUGUGUUUGUGUGUGUGUGUGUGUGUGUGUGUGUGUGUGUGUGUGAAACGGAUGAAGAGAGCGUGAUAAAGAGGGUAUUACAGACACUUAAAGGAACAAUUCAGUGAAAACUCUUCCACAAAUCUUACUCCUUUUAUGCCAAAUAUUAGUUUAUCAACCUGUAAUAGAAGACUUUUCUACCCAGCAAACCCAAGUAUAUCCAUUUACUUUAUUUAGGAUGAAUCGUUAAGCUGUGUAAUGUUAGUUUUUAAUGAUUAAAACGAUCCGUUGUGUGUUUGGAAAAAAAAACAGAAAGAAAAAAGCAGUCAGUCAUCAAAAAUGUCUCGGCUGAUGGGCUGCGUUUGGAGUGUGAGGAGACUGUGUAGGAAAUUGUGUGAUUUUUCACUAUAAUGAUCCUUAAAGUGUGUGUAUAUAUAUAUAUAUAUAUAUAUAUAUAUAUAUAUAUAUAUAUAUAUAUGAGAGAGAGAGAGAGAGUGAGAGAGAGAGUGAGAGAGAGAGAGAGAGAGUGAGAGAGAGAGAGUGAGAGAGAGAGAGAGAGUGAGAGAGAGAGUGAGAGAGAGAGAGUGAGAGAAAAAAGAAGCCACUUUGAGCCUUCGUGCAAUACUGGAGGAAUUCCUCUUUUUUACCGACAGAACUUUUAACGUGUCGGGAUGUUAUUUGUUUUGUUUUGUUUUGAUAUCGACUCAGAUUGUGUAUUCUGUAUUCUCUUCUUCCUCCCGAGCCAGCAGAUCAGUUUAAGGAAACGCUCGUGACUUCAGCGCACAGACUCGCACCAAAUGUUACGCUUCCUCUGUGUUUUAUUUUAUUUUUAUUUUUUUUUGGAUUCCUUUAUGCUCACAAAGCAGCUGAUUCAUAUUAAACGAAAGCCAAA